CUAGAACAUGCUUAGUUUCUUUUCAAAGUCACAAUAACAUUUGUGUGCAUGGAAAUUGAGGAUUUUGUCAAUUUUGUUCCCUUAAUACUUUCCAAUUCCUUUCCUCACAAUUUUCUUUAUACAUUCUCAUCUAGUACUUUAAUCCUUGAUCAUCUUUGCUUGUCAUUCUUUAAUUGAGAGUGUUGGUUGAAUUCUUGAUGAGUUAGAUUGUGCAAGAUGACAAGGUUAUAAGUGUGGGGGAGGAUUUUGGACAAAAAUUAGAGGGCUUGAAGGAUUUUUGAUGGCUUCAUGAAGGUUGCUUUUUGACUUUCGGGAAUGAAAUAGAAGUGACAAGAGUUCUUCAUGUCUAUGAUUUGCUGCAAAACCUGGAAUUUUUCAGUUGUACUAUUGUUUGAUGCUGAAUUUACUACAGUAGACUGCUGUAGGUGUUCAAUGAAGCUUCAUUUGGUUUUCCAAUAAUGCAAUAGAGAUGCACAUAUUCAGUUAAGUGAUAAUGAGUGCUAAUCUGAUAAGAGAAAAAAUAUAUAGCCCUUGAAACUGUGAAGUAUCAGAAUUGUGUAACACUUCCUUGAAUCGAUUGCAAGUGCUCUGAAUUUAUAUGUGGCAAUUUGGAAAUGUAAACAAGCUAGUGUAGGGCUCAACUCAAUACAAAGCAGGAUGUUUGAAUUCUUAUAAGGGGCAGAUAUUUGUGAAGCUGAUUGCUGAAAUAGAAUUCCAGUUUUGUGCCAAGACAGUUUGCUGUUUCUGGACAGCAAUAAUAAAAAUUCAGUUCUUAAUAUAAUUUUUAUAGCACAACUCAAACCUAUUGGAGAUUAGUUGAAUUCUGAGAUGCAGCAAUACUUAAUCAGUUCAGAAUCUGAUUUCUUGAAUUUGAAAACUUCAAUGCCUUGCUGUCUUUAGAUUCGAUUUCCAAGAACUGGUUGAAAAUGCUUUCCUGUUGCAAGUUUCUAAACAGAAAGAAUCUAACUGAAUUUGAUGUAUCAAUGUUGACAUGUUGCGGGCCAAGCUUUUGUGUCAAGUUUCUGAUAAGUGGACAGAAUCAGACACAAAUUUAAAAAACCUUGUAGCUAGGAAAGUUGUUGCAAACUCUUGAAGUUUAACUGAAUUUGAUUGCUGAAUUGCUAAAAUUUUGUGCAAGCUGCAGGAUUAAAAUCAGAGUGCUUGAUACAAGUUUGAUGCCAAUAUCAAAUGAGAUGCUGGUAUCUGCACAUUAAAUAGAAUUUCUAUUCUGUGAAACUGGGAAAUUUCAGAACUGAGAAGGAGAGCCGGGCUAACUUCCGAAUUCCUGAAUUCAGUUUCCUGCUCCGUUGAAUCUGAAAUUGCGUAACUCGACAGAAUUAUAAGAAACAAAAGGAAGCUGAUUUCUGAUACCAGUUGCUGAGAUUUCUCAUUUCUUGUUUGUGCAGAUUGCAGAAUCAGAAAUCUGAGGCUGCUGUUGGAGUUGCCUGGUGUACAAAUUUUCUUGGACCAGAUUUCCACUGUAAAGCUUAGCUUUUGUGUUAAAAGAAUUCAAGAAAUGGAAGGGAAUGAGCAAAGUGGAUAAAUUUUGAAAAUGCAGAAUUCUGAAGAACAAGAAAUGUUGCAUCACUGUGCCAAGUUAGGAAAUGAAUUAUAACUAGCUAGAGUUGUUGAAAUCUGAAAGCUUUUGAGUAUACUUUGAUAAGGUUCUUAAGUAGCAAGAUGAAGUAGCAUUGAGAUUUUUAGUGGCUAAACAAGGCAAUGUUGAUACAAAGUCAUGAAUCUGUACAUGAAUCCAGAACUGCAUUUAGCCAUGCUACAUGAUGUUAAACUGGGCAAUUGAGCAAAAAUGUGAUCAAGCCUUACUCUAAAUCUAAUGCAAAGAGGAAUAAAUGAGAAAUUUUAGUCACUUAUUCUGAAUUCUGAAAUCAGAUUUUGUGGUGUAAAUCUGUGAUUUGUGAAGCUCUACAUCUUUCAAGACUUUUGUGUGCAAAACCUAUAGGUUGUGAGGAAUCGAAAUGCUGUUAUUAAGCAUGGAAAACAACCUGCUGAAAAUAAGUUGUUACGAAUUAUAACAUGUGAUGUUGAAUGAAGUUGAAUCUAGAAUUUGACACCAUGCACCUUUGGCAGCUGCAAAUUCUUCUAAUUUUCUGAAACUGUAUCGUUUCAUUGCAGUGCUAAGAGUAAUCAAUAAGGAAGAGUUCAAGUUUAUGUCCAGUAAACCAGAACCCUGCGGUAAUGAAAUUUGCAAGUGAUGUAUCAAUUUCUUCAAGACUGUGCCAAAUUUAGAUUCUGAAUUAUCAAAAAGAUGCAGAAAUGAAGAAUGUUAUAAGUUUCAUCAGUAAGGAAAUAUACAAGAAAUGUGCUAAAAUCAGAUAUGAAACUUUGGCAGGAAGUGAUGUUCCAAAAGAACUUGCAGAAUUUGGAAUUGGCAACCACACUCUAGUUUCGAAUUUGAAUCUGGACAUCAACUCUUAUUGCAAUUCUCAAGUGAAAUUGCAAGAGUUCAUUGCACUACUAGUAACUAGAGUUUGUUGUAAGCAGAAUUGAAGUGACUGUUUGAGAUUUUGAAUUUCUGUAUUUGACUGCAAGGUUACAAUCAACAGCAGUGUUUGUAAACUGUCCAAUUCUAUUCAGUAAAUUUGAUAGCAGAAAAUGAAAUGAAAAGAAGAAAAUCAGAGAAUUUGAUUUUUGCAUCUUGUUGCUGGAAUUCUGGAGCAAAAGUAACAAGACAGUGAUACAAAGAAUAUGUAUCAAAUUAAAGACUAACAAAGACCAUUUGAUCAGCAAAGGGAACCUGAACUUUAUCUUUAUUUUUGGAAUUGAAAUAUCAGAACUGAAUUACAAAGUUUUCUGACAAUUGCAGAAUUUCUACUCCAAAUCUGCUUUUAAGAGUUUCUGUUAUAACAAAUUGCUAGGAUAAAUUUGCUGAAAAAUGUUAUCUGCUAUAAAUUUGCAGAAAUUUGGUUUGCUGAACAUUGAUUGCUUUGGACAGUUUCAAGGUUCUGAGAUCUGAAGUAUCAACCUUUGGUGUUUCUUUCUUUUCAUGUUAGCCUUAAUUCUGUGAAUGCAGAAUUCUGAAGUUGCUGUUGUUGUUAAGGAUUUAAAGAGGUGAUUUGCUGGGUUACUGCAGGGCUCAGUUUGAAUCCUUAUCUAUGUAAUCGAAAGAUAUUUCUGGUGAUUGUUUCUGUCCAAAGUUUGAGGUCGCUCAUUAGAAGGAAGGGAAGUGACAAUAACAAUUAACAGCUUCUUGGUUAUUGAUAAACUCAAAAUUUGAAGUUGGCCAGUUGCACAUCAAAGCUGGAAUCAGUGACUUGCUGGAAUUUUUGAAAACCAC